rnacentral:rRNA from 1 species
CGGUAAUUCCAGCUCCAAUAGCGUAUACUAAAGUUGUUGCAGUUAAAAAGCUCGUAGUUGGAUUUCUGCGGGGACGGAGCGGCCGGACGCAACUUGCGUCUCGAGCUAGCGCUUUCCCCGCAUCCUGCCGCGAACCGUGCUACCAUUAGCUUGGUGGCGCUGGGGAUCGGCUCGAUUACUUUGAGAAAAAUAGAGUGUUCAAAGCAGGCCACACGCCUUGAAUAAGUUAGCAUGGAAUAAUGACUAAGGACUUCGGUUCUAUUUUGUUGGUGUUCGGGACUGAAGUAAUGAUUGAUAGGGACAGUUGGGGCGGUCUGUAUUCCAAAGCGAGAGGUGAAAUUCUUAGAUCUUCGGAAGACAAACAGCUGCGAAAGCGUUCCGCAAGGAUGUUCCCUUUGAUCAAGAACGAAAGUUGGGGGAUCGAAGACGAUCAGAUACCGUCGUAGUCUCAACUAUAAACUAUACCAGCUAGGGAUCGGUCAACGUUUAAUCAUUCGACUUGAUCGGCACCUUAUGAGAAAUCAAAGCAUCUGGGUUCCGGGGGGAGUACGGUCGCAAGGCUGAAACUUAAAGGAAUUGACGGAAGGGCACCACCAGCCGUGGAGCCUGUGGCUUAAUUUGACUCAACACGGGAAAACUUACCAGGUCCAGACAUAGUAAGGAUUGACAGAUUGAUAGCUCUUUCUUGAUUCUGUGGGUGGUGGUGCAUGGCCGUUCUUAGUUGGUGGAGUGAUUUGUCUGGUUAAUUCCGUUAACGAACGAGACCCCAGCCUGCUAAAUAGCGCGGCUGAGCUUUGCUCGGUGCGAGCUUCUUAGAGGGACUAUGAUGCGCGAUAGCACAUGGAAGUUUGGGGCAAUAACAGGUCUGUGAUGCCCUUAGAUGUUCUGGGCCGCACACGGGCUACACUGGCGCCUGCAACGAGCAUAUCAGCUGGCCCGAGAGGGUCUUGGCUAAUCUUUUGAACCGGCGCCGUGCUUGGGAUUGACCAUUGCAAUUGUUGGUCAUGCAACGAGGAAUGCCUUGUAAACGCGAGUCAUCAGCUCGCAUUGAAUACGUCCCUGCCCUUUGUACACACCGCCCGUCGCUCCUACCGAUGAAUGUUCCGAUGAAAUUUUCGGAGAGCGCCAGAGAACGGGGCUCUGCCUUGCAGAUCUGGAGGCUCAAAGUCACUUAAAUCUGAACAUUUCGAGGAAGGAGAAGUCGUAACAAGGUAGCCG